UUGCUGUGGGAAGCAGCACAUACACUGAAACUGGAAUUAUGCAGAGAAGAUUAGCAUGGCCUCUGCGUAAGGACAACACGCAAAUUCAUGAAGCGUCACAUAUUUUU
ensembl:snRNA U6 U6 spliceosomal RNA